AAGUCGUAACAAGGUUUCCGUAGGUGAACCUGCGGAAGGAUCAUUAUCAAUAAGCAUGGAGCAUGCCCUUUUUGGGCUGCUUUAUCUUAUGUGAACUGCUUUUUUUUUCUUUUGGGUAGCUUGUCGUUAUUUCCUACUCUGCAAGGAGUGGCAAGUAUCGGUAGCGCCCCAAAAGAAAAAAGAGGAUUUAGAGGGGCAACCCUCUUUUGACUUUAAUUUUAUUGUUGUGUUAUAAAGAUUUAUAAUCUUAUAGACAACUUUCAGCAAUGGAUCUCUUGGCUCUU
rnacentral:misc_RNA from 1 species